CAUUUCCUUCACUCUCCACUCCCUCACACUCUUCUCCUCCACCUCCCCACGAGCUUCUGCUCCUCCCAAGCACUAUGGCUGGCCAUGGCCAUGGGAAGCCACCAAGAUGAAGCUCUCCCCCUCCCUCAAACUUCCCCUCACCAUGAGAGCUUCCCUCUCACUCUCUUCUCCCCUAAUCUUUGAUGAAUCCAGCCCUAUUUCUCCUUUCUCCUCUCACAAGAUUGGAUCUUGAUGCAGGUGCAUGUUGGUCCAAGCAUGGAGAAGGUUGAGCAAUCCUCAGAUCUGAAGCUCUUGACCAAAAUCCAAAUCGAGUGAUUCAAAGUUCCACAUAUAGGUAUUGAAAAGAUCUACAACUUGGCGUUGGUCUCAUCCUCAAAUUAGUUACGGAUUUUGCAUGAUCAAUAUCUGGUCAGAUCUGACUUUGUCGAAUUAACCCAGGAGCUUGGAGACGAAUUUUUGAAUGGAACCAACUGGGGGAUAUUUGGUUUAUACCAUGGUGGUAACCGAGAGAGGCAAUUGCUAUGUUGUGAUACUCUCAUACCUUUACUAGAUGCGAACAAUUCCGGAGAAGAAGAAGAGGUGGAAUCGGACGAGGAUUUUAUUUAUGUUGUUGGGAUUCUUAUAUUGAUGGAGUUGAAGAAGUGCAGGGACAAAUAAGCCAAGGCAAGCCAUCUUUUGAUCUCUGACUUGGUGUCUAGUUGGAUGUCAUUUGUUGAUGUCCAAAGCACCUUAUUUCUAUGUGUGUUAUUCUCUCUAUUUAUGUCAUCUAUGUGUGAUUGCAAGUGGGGUACUCCCUAGUGGUGACACUCCCCUAUUGUCUUUGUGAUUAUGGGAUACAUGGUAUUAUGGCCGUGCUAUUCCACUUGGUCAUCUUGUAUGCUCAACUUGAGCAUCUUCCCUCUCAAGAUAGUAACUUACACCACACCCACCACUUUUGUAAUUUAGAGGUAUCAAUGUCAUGAUCUUGGUAUAUUCUCAACUUGAGAGGAGUAUGCCGUGU